GCAGUCAUAAUUUCCUAGAUGUUUUCUCUGGAUAUUGCGACUUCACCCAAGCCCUGUCUACCCAAGCACUGCGGAAGCAUCAGGGACUUGAGAAACUUCUCUCGCUGUGGCUCCCAAGCCAGCUUUGUUAUUUUAAAAUAACGACGGGGACCCUAUUCUCCGUGAGAACUUCAGCGCCUGGGACCAGUGCAGCAUUUCCCAGCCGAAGCAAUGGUGCCAUUACCACGUCAGGGAGAGACAAGGGACUUAAAAGUGAUGAUGUGAAGUGCCAUAAAACGAGGCAGGGAAAAACUGCCCCGGGCACAGAAGGACAGGAGUUCGUCCGCCUGUCAGGUCACCAGGUGUGAAACCGGUCCGUCCCCGCCGCUUCAGGAAGACUCCUUCCUCCCCGGUCGCCCCCUUCCCCAAGGAGCACAUCUGGCGUCCCCUCCUCCCUCCGUCAAAGGCGCGGGACUGGGAAGAGAAGGCCAGCCCCGGUCGAACCACGCAAGCCGGGGCCCCGCGCCCGAGCCAAGGACACCGACGGCUUCCGAGCCAGGCCAGCUGGAGACCGAGCGGAAAGCCAGGCAGGAGGCCCAGCCCCAGUCGCCUCUCAGGUGGGCGUGUCGGCUCAGGGACAGGGACUCCGGAGGGACCCGCCACGCCCCAGACGCCGCCGGGAGCCAAGCGCCGAGGGAGGGGCAGCGGAGAACCGGGGCCUGGCGCCGGGGGCAAUGAGUACCUGGCUGCCGAACUGAGGACAACUGCGGGCACUCACAGAGCCGGACGAGACCGCUUCCAUCAAUGGCGCCGGCUUGGCGGGGCCGGCCACCAGGCAAGCCAGUGCGCCUGCGCAGUCGGGCUGCCGAACUACAGCGCCCGGAAUCCUCAGCGCGGAGCGUUUUUGGUUUUGGUUUUUUGUGGGGUUUUUUGGCCCCCCAUUUUUCUUCUUUUUCUUCUUCUACUUUUUUUGUCUGGCUUAAGAGGAAAUUGGAUGUGUUUAUCGACAGUUUGGGUGACUUAAAAAAAUCUAUUCAAAUUGAACAAACUUGUAUUGAGAGGCUAUAACUAUGUGUCAAGCAUUAGCACGAAAGAGGCAAAAGAUGACACCACCUCUUGUCAAUUAUAGAAGAUAAAGGCCUUUUGCAAAUUAGCUGAAACUUCGGAUGCCAGUAGAGUUGAUCCAAGAAGCUCAGUGAAAUUCAGAGAAAACACAUGAAGAAAAUCACACCAAGGCACAGCAUAAUCAAAUUGCUACAAACCAGUAAUAAAGGAAAAUCUUAGAAAAACAAAAGUCAUAAACUGGAGAAUACAAAAAGACUUUUAAAGAUCCCUUGUAUGUAUUUGAUAUGCAUUCUCUGCAGAUGAAGUCUGACCACUGAAGAAAUCCAAAGGGGUUUCUCUCCAGUGUGGAUUCUCUGACAUAUGGCAAAAUCUGGGAAACUCCUGAAUACCUUCCCACAUUCAUUGCAUUUACGUGGCCUUUCUUCAGAAUGGAUCCUCAUGUACAGUAAGGUAUAAGUUAUUGCUGAAAGCUUUCCCACAAUUGCCACAUCUGUAGGGCUUCUUUACAGUGUGAUUUUCUUGAUGUCUGGUGAGUUUUGAUGUUGGAGGCUUUACUGGAGGCUUUACCCCAUUCAUGACAUACAUAAAGUUUCUUCCAGUAUGAAUUCUCAGUAGUUGGGUAAAGGGUGCACAUUUCCCAAAGGCUUUUCCACAGACAGUGUGCUCAUAAGGUUUGACUUCAGCAUAAAUUUGCUGAUAAGCGAUUAAAGUUGAAGAAACGGGGGCAUCUGGGUGGCUCAGUCAGUUAAGUGUCUGCCUUUGGCUCAGGUCAUAGUCUCAGGGUCCUGGGAUCGAGCCCUACAUUGGGCUCUCUGCUCAGCGGGGAGCCUGCUCCCCACCCCUGCCUGCUUCUCUGCCUACGUGUGAUCUCUCUCUCUCUCUCUGUCAAAUAAAUAAAUGAAAUCCUUUAAAAGUUGAAGAAACAAUGAAGGCUUUCCCACAUUGAUUACAUUUAUAGGGUUUUCUUCACUGUGAAUUUUCUGUUGAUUUUCUUCUGUUGAUAUGAAGGUCUGCAGGUUGACUCAAAACUUUCCCACAUUUAUCACAUUUAGAUUCAUACAGUUUCUCUCUAGUAUGAAUUCUGUGGCAUUGAAUAAGGGAUGACCUAAAACUAAAAGCUUUUCCACAUGUAUUACAUUUAUAAGAUUUCUCUUUACCAUUACUUAUCUCUUCUAUUUUAAGUCGGGAGGCCUGGCUCACAUCUCUGUUGCCUUUAGUAGUUUUGAAAAUUGUCUUACCCAGGUUAGUUCCUGAUGGAAUAAUUAGCUCAGAGUUUUCUUGACAACUUUGUCCAUAUAGAUCACUUAGGUAUCACUAUCUUCUAUAAGAAUUCUCUGUUCUUUAAAGUUUGGUUUUUUUUUUUAAUUUAUUUAUUUGACAGACAGGGAUCACAAGUAGUCAGAGAAGCAGGCAGAGAGAGAGAGGAGGAAGCAGGCUCUUGGCUGAGCAGAGAACCCGAAGUGGGGCUUGAUCCCAGGCCCCUGGGAUCAUGACCUAAGCUGAAAGCAGAGGCUUUAACCCACUGAGCCACCCUGGUGCCCCCAGAAUUCUCUGUUCUUUAAAGAGAAUAGACUUCAACAAG